UACGUAGGGUGCAAGCGUUGUCCGGAAUUAUUGGGCGUAAAGGGCUCGUAGGCGGUCCGUCACGUCGGGAGUGAAAACUUGGGGCUUAACCCCAAGCCUGCUUCCGAUACGGGCGGACUAGAGGUAGGCAGGGGAGAACGGAAUUCCUGGUGUAGCGGUGAAAUGCGCAGAUAUCGGGAAGAACACCCGUGGCGAAGGCGGCUCUCUGGGACGGUACUGACGCUGAGACGCGAAAGCGUGGGGAGCGAACAGG
rnacentral:rRNA from 1 species